rnacentral:tRNA from 1 species
GACUCGUGAGUGUGCUGGAUAGCACGGCAGUCCUCGAAACUGUCGGACCAGGUUCGAUUCCUGGACGAGUUAC